UACGUAGGGGGCAAGCGUUGUCCGGAUUUAUUGGGCGUAAAGAGCGUGUAGGCGGCCUGGAGGGUCAGCUGUGAAAACUCGAGGCUCAACCUCGAGACGUCGGUUGAAACCACCUGGCUAGAGUCCGGAAGAGGAGAGUGGAAUUCCCGGUGUAGCGGUGAAAUGCGCAGAUAUCAGGAAGAACACCCGUGGCGAAGGCGGCUCUCUGGGACGUGACUGACGCUGAGGUGCGAAAGCGUGGGGGAGCAAACAGGG
rnacentral:rRNA from 1 species